rnacentral:rRNA from 1 species
GAGUUUGAUCGUGGCUCAGAGCGAACGCUGGCGGCAGGCUUAACACAUGCAAGUCGAGCGGAUGUAGCAAUACAUCAGCGGCAGACGGGAGAGGAACACGUGGGAACGCGCCCUUCGGUUCGGAAUAACUCAGGGAAACUUGAGCUAAUACCGGAUACGCCCUUACGGGGAAAGAUUUAUUGCCGAAGGAACGGCCCGCGUCCGAUUAGCUAGUUGGUGAGGUAAUGGCUCACCAGGGCUACGAUCGGUAGCUGGUCUGAGAGGAUGACCAGCCUCACUGGGACUGAGACACGGCCCAGACUCCUACGGGAGGCAGCAGUGGGGAAUAUUGGACAAUGGGCGGCAAGCCUGAUCCAGCCAUGCCGCGUGAGUGAUGAAGGCCUUAGGGUUGUAAAGCUCUUUUAGCAGGGAAGAUAAUGACGGUAACCUGCAGAAAAAGCCCCGGCUAACUUCGUAGCCAGCCG